UACGACCGCAUCACGUUGAAAUACCGGUUUCCAUAUGAUCACCGAAGUUAAGCAACGCGGUACCUGAUCAGUACCCAGACGGGUGACUGCUUGUGAAUAUUAGAUGCUGUAAG